rfam:Lyngbya confervoides BDT141951 scaffold_72, whole genome shotgun sequence.
GAUCCCGGAGGUCCACACCCGACAGCGCGAUGCGCCCUCGGGUGCGUUCGUG